AGACCUUUCAGAGCUCCUGAAACACAAGAAAAUGAUGUCCUUGUUUCUCCUGGUUGGGACGCUUCUCAUCAUCUUUGCCCAGGUCUCCAGUGGGCAGAUCGCUAUGACUCAGACUCCUUCAGCGCUCUCUGCUCUCCCAGGAGAAAAAGUCACUAUCAACUGCAAAGCCAGCAGCUCCGUGAGCAGCUACCUAGCCUGGUACCUGCAGACACCUGGAGAAGCUCCUAAACUCCUGAUCUAUGCUGCAAGCACCCUUCAAUCUGGGAUCCCAGCUCGUUUCAGUGGCAGUGGAUCUGGGACUGACUUCACUCUGACCAUCAGCGGUGUCCAGGCUGAAGAUGAAGGAGAUUACUACUGUCAGCAUUAUAGCAGCUCCUCUCUCACACAGUGAUACAUGUCCGUACAAAAACCUCCCUCAGAUCUACAGGAAUUGUUCUGGUUCAUAAACAGAACCCACAGGGGGCUGAGGCGGAUACCAGCUGCAGAGCUGCAGGCUUGUCAGACCGGUAUGCUUUUGAUUUUAUUAUAAUAGGAGUGAGUACUGAACCUGACACUGAAACACAUAGGGGUGAUUACCCUGUUGCCAGGCUUGAUCCUACCAUGGUUUCUGAGAUCUUACCAAGGCUUUUGACACAGUGGACUAUGAACUGCUUGUGCUGGAGUUGGAUAUUCAUCCUCUUCUCAAUGCUUUGGGUCAUACUCACACGGUAGAACCCAAUCUGUAACUUUGUCACUGGUCAAAUCAAAUGCACUGCCCAUAAACCUUAGUGUCCCACUGGCUUCUAUCCUGGGUCCUCUUGUAUUCUCAUGUUU